rnacentral:rRNA from 1 species
CCUACGGGCGGCAGCAGUGAGGAAUAUUGGUCAAUGGGCUUACGCCUGAACCAGCCAAGUCGCGGGAGGGAAGACUGCCCUAUGGGUGGUAAACCUCUUUUGUAGGGGAGAAACGCCGGCUACGUGAAGCCGGACUGAGAGUACCUGAAGAAAAAGCAUCGGGUAACUCCGGGCCAGCAGCUGAGGUAAUACGGAGGAUGCGAGCGUUAUCCGGAUUUAUUGGGUUUAAAGGGUGCGUAGGCGGAAUGCAAAGCCAGCGGUAAAAUCGGGGGGCUCAACCUCGCUCCGCCGUUGAAACUGGCGUUCUUGAGUGGGCGAGAAGUAUGCGGAAUGCGUGGUGUAGCGGUGAAAUGCAUAGAUAUCACGCAGAACUCCGAUUGCGAAGGCAGCAUACCGGCGCCCAACUGACGCUGAAGCACGAAAGCGUGGGUAACGAACAGGAUUAGAUACCCCAGUAGUC